rnacentral:rRNA from 1 species
GGGUUGUGAGGUUAAGCGACUAAGCGUACACGGUGGAUGCCCUGGCAGUCAGAGGCGAUGAAGGACGUGCUAAUCUGCGAUAAGCGUCGGUAAGGUGAUAUGAACCGUUAUAACCGGCGAUUUCCGAAUGGGGAAACCCAGUGUGUUUCGACACACUAUCAUUAACUGAAUCCAUAGGUUAAUGAGGCGAACCGGGGGAACUGAAACAUCUAAGUACCCCGAGGAAAAGAAAUCAACCGAGAUUCCCCCAGUAGCGGCGAGCGAACGGGGAGCAGCCCAGAGCCUGAAUCAGUGUGUGUGUUAGUGGAAGCGUCUGGAAAGGCGCGCGAUACAGGGUGACAGCCCCGUACACAAAAAUGCACAUGCUGUGAGCUCGAUGAGUAGGGCGGGACACGUGGUAUCCUGUCUGAAUAUGGGGGGACCAUCCUCCAAGGCUAAAUACUCCUGACUGACCGAUAGUGAACCAGUACCGUGAGGGAAAGGCGAAAAGAACCCCGGCGAGGGGAGUGAAAAAGAACCUGAAACCGUGUACGUACAAGCAGUGGGAGCACGCUUAGGCGUGUGACUGCGUACCUUUUGUAUAAUGGGUCAGCGACUUAUAUUCUGUAGCAAGGUUAACCGAAUAGGGGAGCCGAAGGGAAACCGAGUCUUAACUGGGCGUUAAGUUGCAGGGUAUAGACCCGAAACCCGGUGAUCUAGCCAUGGGCAGGUUGAAGGUUGGGUAACACUAACUGGAGGACCGAACCGACUAAUGUUGAAAAAUUAGCGGAUGACUUGUGGCUGGGGGUGAAAGGCCAAUCAAACCGGGAGAUAGCUGGUUCUCCCCGAAAGCUAUUUAGGUAGCGCCUCGUGAAUUCAUCUCCGGGGGUAGAGCACUGUUUCGGCAAGGGGGUCAUCCCGACUUACCAACCCGAUGCAAACUGCGAAUACCGGAGAAUGUUAUCACGGGAGACACACGGCGGGUGCUAACGUCCGUCGUGAAGAGGGAAACAACCCAGACCGCCAGCUAAGGUCCCAAAGUCAUGGUUAAGUGGGAAACGAUGUGGGAAGGCCCAGACAGCCAGGAUGUUGGCUUAGAAGCAGCCAUCAUUUAAAGAAAGCGUAAUAGCUCACUGGUCGAGUCGGCCUGCGCGGAAGAUGUAACGGGGCUAAACCAUGCACCGAAGCUGCGGCAGCGACGCUUAUGCGUUGUUGGGUAGGGGAGCGUUCUGUAAGCCUGUGAAGGUGUGCUGUGAGGCAUGCUGGAGGUAUCAGAAGUGCGAAUGCUGACAUAAGUAACGAUAAAGCGGGUGAAAAGCCCGCUCGCCGGAAGACCAAGGGUUCCUGUCCAACGUUAAUCGGGGCAGGGUGAGUCGACCCCUAAGGCGAGGCCGAAAGGCGUAGUCGAUGGGAAACAGGUUAAUAUUCCUGUACUUGGUGUUACUGCGAAGGGGGGACGGAGAAGGCUAUGUUGGCCGGGCGACGGUUGUCCCGGUUUAAGCGUGUAGGCUGGUUUUCCAGGCAAAUCCGGAAAAUCAAGGCUGAGGCGUGAUGACGAGGCACUACGGUGCUGAAGCAACAAAUGCCCUGCUUCCAGGAAAAGCCUCUAAGCAUCAGGUAACAUCAAAUCGUACCCCAAACCGACACAGGUGGUCAGGUAGAGAAUACCAAGGCGCUUGAGAGAACUCGGGUGAAGGAACUAGGCAAAAUGGUGCCGUAACUUCGGGAGAAGGCACGCUGAUAUGUAGGUGAAGUCCCUCGCGGAUGGAGCUGAAAUCAGUCGAAGAUACCAGCUGGCUGCAACUGUUUAUUAAAAACACAGCACUGUGCAAACACGAAAGUGGACGUAUACGGUGUGACGCCUGCCCGGUGCCGGAAGGUUAAUUGAUGGGGUUAGCGGUAACGCGAAGCUCUUGAUCGAAGCCCCGGUAAACGGCGGCCGUAACUAUAACGGUCCUAAGGUAGCGAAAUUCCUUGUCGGGUAAGUUCCGACCUGCACGAAUGGCGUAAUGAUGGCCAGGCUGUCUCCACCCGAGACUCAGUGAAAUUGAACUCGCUGUGAAGAUGCAGUGUACCCGCGGCAAGACGGAAAGACCCCGUGAACCUUUACUAUAGCUUGACACUGAACAUUGAGCCUUGAUGUGUAGGAUAGGUGGGAGGCUUUGAAGUGUGGACGCCAGUCUGCAUGGAGCCGACCUUGAAAUACCACCCUUUAAUGUUUGAUGUUCUAACGUUGACCCCUAAUCGGGGUUGCGGACAGUGUCUGGUGGGUAGUUUGACUGGGGCGGUCUCCUCCUAAAGAGUAACGGAGGAGCACGAAGGUUGGCUAAUCCUGGUCGGACAUCAGGAGGUUAGUGCAAUGGCAUAAGCCAGCUUGACUGCGAGCGUGACGGCGCGAGCAGGUGCGAAAGCAGGUCAUAGUGAUCCGGUGGUUCUGAAUGGAAGGGCCAUCGCUCAACGGAUAAAAGGUACUCCGGGGAUAACAGGCUGAUACCGCCCAAGAGUUCAUAUCGACGGCGGUGUUUGGCACCUCGAUGUCGGCUCAUCACAUCCUGGGGCUGAAGUAGGUCCCAAGGGUAUGGCUGUUCGCCAUUUAAAGUGGUACGCGAGCUGGGUUUAGAACGUCGUGAGACAGUUCGGUCCCUAUCUGCCGUGGGCGCUGGAGAACUGAGGGGGGCUGCUCCUAGUACGAGAGGACCGGAGUGGACGCAUCACUGGUGUUCGGGUUGUCAUGCCAAUGGCACUGCCCGGUAGCUAAAUGCGGAAGAGAUAAGUGCUGAAAGCAUCUAAGCACGAAACUUGCCCCGAGAUGAGUUCUCCCUGACUCCUUGAGAGUCCUGAAGGAACGUUGAAGACGACGACGUUGAUAGGCCGGGUGUGUAAGCGCAGCGAUGCGUUGAGCUAACCGGUACUAAUGAACCGUGAGGCUUAACCUUACAACGCCGAAG